GGAAGCAGGGAAGAAUGGCUACAUAGCAACACACUAAUGUAAUUUAACUAUCUUUCCUUUGCCUGUUUUUUUUUUUUUUCCUGAAAAUUUCAAAUGCAGUGUAAGAAGCCCGAGUAUUGAAGUCAAGACUGGUUCUCGUUGAGCCAAUUGGGCAAGUUCUUAAAUCUUAAUGAAUCCGGUUUUCAUCACUGCUGAAAUUGGGAGAGCAGUGUCUACUUCACAGAAAUCUUUGAGGAUUAAAUGAAAUGCCAACCUUCAUUCAACAGGAUUCUUUGAGUACCUGUAUUUCCAGGCAUGAAAGCAAAGUGAGGAGUAAAAAUGGCAAGUUCCUAUCAUAAUGGAUCUUACCUUGUUGCAAGAGGGAACUAAUUAAAAAAAAUAAAAACUGUGAGCCAAAGUAUUCAGAAGGAACAACUAACAACUAUCUACUUGCUGACCUUAAACUAUACUUCAAAGAGACAGUAAUUAAAACUGCAUAGUACUGGAACAAAAGUAGACACAAAGACCAAUGGAAAAGAACUGAAAGCCCAGAAACAAAAAUCACAUACAUAUGGACAACUAAUUUCUGAUGAGUCAAGAUCUUACAAUGGAGCAAGAAAAGUCUCUUCAACAAAUGGUUUUGGUAAAACUGUACCACCACAUACAAAAGGAUGAAAUUAGACCAUUAACACCAUACACACAAAAUAAUUCAAAAUGGAUUAAAGACUUGGAUAUAGGACCUGAAAUUAUAAAAUGCAUAUAAGAAAAGGGGUUACGGUCCCUGGCAUCAGCCUUAGAGAUGUAUUUGGGGACUUGAUUUCAAAUGUCAGGGCAACAAGAGCAAAAAAAUAAAUGGGACUGCAUUAAACUACUUUUACACAGAGAAAGAAACUUGCGCCAAAAUGAAAAGACAUCCUACUGAAUGGAAGGAGAUAUUUGCACAUUAUACAUCUGACAAAGGUUAAUAUUGAAAACAUACAAAGAGUCAUAAAUUUCAACAUUUAAAAGGAAAAUUAACCCUAUCCAAAAAGAAAGGGCAAAAUAUCUCUAUAGAGACUUUCUCCAAAGAAGACAUACAGAUGGCCAUUAGGUAAAUGACAAAGUUGUCAUUACCUUUUAUAAAAUUAUUUUAUUUUCUUCCAUUGUGUGUCAUCUUUCUAUAGUUAUUGGUUGCCUUAGGUGCUGCCCUCAUUACUUCUUAUUAUUAGAGAAAUGCACAUCAAAAUAACAAUGAGAUAUCUUUUCACAUCCGUGAUAAUGGCGAUUAUCCAAAAGACAAGCGGCAGCAAGUGCUAGUGAGGAUUUGGAGAAGAAAGUCUUUAUACACUGUUUUUAGGAAUGUGAAUUGGUGCAGUCAUUAUGGAAAGCAGUAUGGAGUUUCCUCCAAAAGCAAAAUAAAUAAAUAAGUAAAUAAACCAGAAACUCCAUACAAUCCAGCCAUCCUACUUUUGGAUAAUUACUGAAAACUACAAAACCCUAAUUUGAAGAGCUACGUGUGCCCUCAUGUUUAUUGCAGCAUUUUUUUACAAUAGCCAAGAACUGGAAACAACCUAAAUGGCCAGCAGCUGACAAAUGCUUAAAGAAGAUGUGGUCUAUAUACACAAUGCAAUGUUCUUCAGCUAUAAAAAAGAUGAAAUCCUGCCAUUGACAGCAACAUGGAUGAAUGUAGAGAGUGUUAUGCUUAGUAAAAUAAACCAGAUGGAGAAAAGCAAAUACUGCAUGGUUUCACUCAUAUGCAGCAUACAGAGGAAAGCAAUUGAUGAACUAAAUUAACUCUUUUAGGUCACCAUUAUAGAGAUAAAAGGAAUAAUGUCUUUUCUGUCAUAAUUUCCACAGAUUACCUCUAUAAUAAAAAUCAAAGAAAAUAAGGUUGCUUCUACCAAAAAAGAAAAAAAAAAGACAAAAAUGUAUUGACCGAGUCAAUUUAUCUCAAAGUCUAGGAA